rnacentral:lncRNA from 1 species
CUUGAACCCGCCUGAGCCCAGCCCCCCUGGAAGUGUAUAUGUGGCUUGGGGAUGAAGGGGCUGCUCGUGUCUAACUCCUGGGGACCUGAACAGCUCUAACAGAGUGGACCACGGGGCAGGAGACAGGAUAAAUUCCUUGCAAUUGCUGAUCCGGAGGAGGAACCAUUUGAAAGGCCUUGCUUGGUGUUGCCUAGUUGCCUCCUGAAAUGUCACGCUGCUUUGUGUGGACAUUUUCCAGCAGAGUGUGAGAAUGCCCGGAGAACAUUGCGACGGGUUCAGCACACAGCCGCCCGGCUCAGAGAGUACACGACAUCAGGGGUCUCAGGUGUGCGGGCCCUCAUUCCUGAGGGCCAUGAGAGACUGAGCGCUGGGCCCUGAAGGAGGACCCCCUGGACGCCCCGCUCCCCACGCCGUCGCAUGGAAGCACAUUCCGGCCCUGCAGUGGGGGGAGCAGCCAAGAGGGCCCUGUGUGUGCCUCGGCGCCUGCCCCUGUGAACGGCAAGCUCGUGCUGGAAUCGCCGCCGUCUGUUGACUCCGUGGAUGCUGUGCGGAGGUCUGGGCGCUCCUCUCUCCCUCGAGCUUCUCUCCCGGGGAGAGCGAGGGAGCGGGAGAGGGGCCGAGGCUAG